UGGUAGCCAAGUUGUUAGAAUAUCUGCCUCAAAUGCAGGAGGUUGCUGGUUCAAACCCCAGCCCGCUCAG